ensembl:lncRNA
GAUCUAGGCUCCGCUGGGUACGAAGGCGAUGUGUCCACAUGGAUGCAUGAGGCAGCUGGAUAUAAGGAUCCAAAGCUCAGGGAGUUCUUGCAGAACAAAAGCUGAAAAUAAACAACCCCCCAAAUUCAGUGGCUGACAACCGUGAACACUUAUUCGACUCACAGGUGGCUCCACUGCACUGCGAGAGGACCAGUGGAAAUAUACAAUGCCUUUUAAGACUUGGCUUGGAACUAGAUCACUGUCACUUCCAGCCAUCAUCCAAUGGCCAAACCAAAUCACAUGACCAAACCCUCCAUCAUGGGAUAAGGGAGAGGCACUGCCUCAAGGGAGAGGGGAGGGAAUAUUUGCUGAGCGAUAAUCCAAUCUAUUAAAGCAUGUAAAGCCCCUGGCACUGUGCCUGGCAUAGAAACUCAGACUAUUAAUUCCCUUUCAUCCCAUGUUGCGUCAUUACUAUAUUUUACAGCUCAGAUUAAUUCAUUAUAAUUCACUGUAAUAA